UGAGCAAUCUGCCCUUCUCAUCGGAAUAAGCGUUGGAAACGACGUCUAAUGCCGAAUACGACCUCCUUUCGCAUGAUCGGAGGUGGAAAGCUCCGGCGGAGAAGGAUGAGCUCGCGGCCUAUCAGCUAGUUGGUGUGGGUAAUGGCUCACCAAGGCGACGACGGGUAGCCGGCCUGAGAGGGUGACCGGCCACACUGGGACUGAGAUACGGUCCAGACUCCGUAGGGAGG
rnacentral:rRNA from 1 species